UGGGGUUUUGUUGUUGGAACGACGAGGCGUCAACACAAUGGUCCAGUCUCUGUGUGACGCCAAACUUGUUGGGUUUUCGGUAUCACCAACGAAAAUAUUCAACAUGUUGGGAAAAAUUUUCCAUGUGUGACGCCGCGUUUAGUGUUAAUUGGUAUUUAAUAUGUUUAGAUUAACUGAUACUUCGGGUGCCGGUUUGGGUUGGGUCGUACCAGUCAAGGAGUCGAGCUCCUGCUGAAGGUGUGGAUUGUUUGUGGUGGACAGUUACUUGUUAUAUAGACAUCAAUCGUGAGACUUUGAUGUUUCCUUGUUCUUCACUGGGAGCUUAUCAAGACGAGAGAGUUCAAGUCAACGUACUUAACUCCGUCCAGCAAACAACACAGCCACGGCCUACCACUUCACUCCGACACGCGGACCUAAUCAGCUAGCAUCUCAAAAUAGCUCGUGGCGGAGGCUGAGUCUGGAUCAUGCGGGGACCGUCACAUGGAAGCCGGCAGGGUCUCUCCUGGACAGCAUCCCUCCCUGACCCUUAGUGUGACCCUCAACCUUCCGCCCCACACCGCCAUGACACACACCGCACCUGCCACCGCCACCACCGUCACGACACGCAUCGCUCCUGCCACCACCGCCACGACACACACCGCCACUGCCGCCAUCAGGACUUCAAAGGGAGGCGGUGAAUUAGUUGUGGCGUGUGGAUGUGGUGAUGACUGUGGCAUGUGCUGGAUAUGUCAGCUUCUCGGCCUGUCACGUUCACUCUUCGGCUUGGACCGGCAGGCUUAGCGGCACGCAGGACUGAGCACACGACGAGGCUCCUCACGCGUCACUCACUUUGCCACUGCCACUCAGCUGUGUCUGGAAUGCUGCUGGGGGGACUGGGAUGAAAAUUUAGCUCCUUGAUUGCUUUGUUAUCUUAUAGAAGUAGCUAUCAAAUUUUAAAACACAAGAAUAUAAUUGCAGCUACUCAAAAAAAAAAAAAAAAAAAGCGCCAAGUAUUUGAUAUUCCGCUUUCAUUUAAAAUCCUACCCUAAACUUACACCAGACUGUUUUGUUAAGCUUAAACAAAGCCAUAGCAAUCAGAAAGCUCAGUGUCUCACAGUCGGUGUACACUUCC